UACGGGGGGAGCAAACGUUGUUCGGAAUUACUGGGCGUAAAGGGCGUGCAGGCGGCCUUGUAAGUGGGAUGUGAAAUGCCCUGGCUCAACCAGGGAACCGCAUCCCAGACUGCAAGGCUUGAGUAUAGGAGAGGAUGGGGGAAUUCCCGGUGUAGCGGUGAAAUGCAUUGAUAUCGGGAGGAACACCAGUGGCGAAGGCGCCCAUCUGGCCUAAUACUGACGCUCAGGCGCGAAAGCUAGGGGAG
rnacentral:rRNA from 1 species